CUACGGGGGGCUGCAGUGGGGAAUAUUGCACAAUGGGCGCAAGCCUGAUGCAGCCAUGCCGCGUGUGUGAAGAAGGCCUUCGGGUUGUAAAGCACUUUCAGCGGGGAGGAAGGCGGUGAGGUUAAUAACCUCAUCGAUUGACGUUACCCGCAGAAGAAGCACCGGCUGACUCCGUGCCAGCAGCCGCGGUAAUACGGAGGGUGCAAGCGUUAAUCGGAAUUACUGGGCGUAAAGCGCACGCAGGCGGUCUGUCAAGUCGGAUGUGAAAUCCCCGGGCUCAACCUGGGAACUGCAUUCGAAACUGGCAGGCUAGAGUCUUGUAGAGGGGGGUAGAAUUCCAGGUGUAGCGGUGAAAUGCGUAGAGAUCUGGAGGAAUACCGGUGGCGAAGGCGGCCCCCUGGACAAAGACUGACGCUCAGGUGCGAAAGCGUGGGGAGCAAACAGGAUUAGAUACCCCAGUAGUC
rnacentral:rRNA from 1 species